UCCAUUCUCCACUUGGUGGUGCUGUUUAGCUCACUGGGGUCAAUCAAUGUUGCUGGGCUAAUAGUGAAAACGGCUUCACCUUGCUCUCUAGUCUCCAGAGCAGGAAGUUCAUACCCUCACAGAUGCCCAACCACUCCUCCUGUGUCCCCAACUUCCAUCAGCUCCCUCUCUUCCCCGUCUGUGUCUGAGCUAUCUGCCUACCAGGGAGCGCCUUUCUCCAUAGUUUUAUCUCAGAUACGGCUGUGUUUCAAAACGUCACACUUCAGACAGUCUUGCAGUUUAGACCCACAGUGAUCUGAUGGAGGAUUUUGCCUCACUGUGGCUGGCUUGUUCCAGGAACCAGUCUUACCACCGCACAGCAGCAACAGCUCCGAGUUUAUGGUAAAUUGCAACACACAGCCGACACCAGGGUUUGCUGCCCUUAGCUGGUGUCUUUGUUCCUAUAUGGGUGGCUUGAUGGCACCUGCUGGGUCUUUUGCCUGUAGAGAGGCCAUAUCACCUCUACCAAAUGGCCUCCAAGCAGGGGAACCGCUUCUCCCCAUAUCCCCCAGGAGAUCUUCAGACCAUGCUGCCCACUCCGGGGGGCUUGGCCCUGCUUCCUUGCCAGAGCAUCACCAGAGGCUGACUUCUAAAACUUCAACUCUGUGUUCCGCUGUUUAUAAAAACCUGGCAGUAUUGAAACCCUCUCCUUUUUCUGCAUCAAUGGUUUUGGGGAUCAGUUUUCUUGUGCAGUCAGUCCCCUGUGCAUGUUUUCACUCUUUCUCUCUAUCUGCUUUCAGGAGGGGUGUUUUCUUGCACAAACCUGAUAUACUGCUCUCUCUCCCCCCAACUCUUUCUACUCUCUGUAAAAAUGGCUCCCUCCCCUCUGCAGCACUGCGGCUCUUCUCUCUCCCAGUUUACCUCUCCACACCACAUACCUACCGUAUUCUCUCCCUCAAAUUAUGCGGAUUGUUCUGUGAAUCCUCAGAUCUAUUUCCUAGGUGUUCAAAAUGGUUUGAUGUUGGUCUAGCUGGGUUUGAGGGACAAAACAAGUCCAGGAUCCACUUACUACUCCACCAUCCAAACUCUUCUCCUCUACAAUACAUGUUAGAUGAAUAUGAUACCAGAUAGAAACUUGGAUCUUCAAAAGGAAAUGAGGAGUAUUGGAAAUGCAAUAUAUAAAAGUACAUAAUUUUUUGCCUAUUUUUAAUUGUUUUAAAACUCUUGUAUUUACCUUCUGUUUUCAGUUUUCUGUUGGAUCUAUUGGAUAGCACAGAUUUAGAAAAGUUGCCACUUUGUUUUGAUUUGCUUUUUGACUUUUCACUGAAGGAAAUAUAUAAAUUAAAAAGUAUAUGAAAAGAUAUUCAACAUCAUUAAUCAUUAGUAAAAGCUACUUAAAGUCACAAUGAAAUAACCCUACACACUUAUUAAAGUGUCUAAAAUUAAAAAUAUGACAAUGUCAAGUGCUGACAAAGAUUCAGAACAAAUAUAACUCUCACACAUUGGAAACAAUGUAAAAUGGUACAGAAACUUUGGAAAAUAGUUUGUCAGGUUUUAUAAUGUUAAAUAUUUACCAUAGGGUCCAACUAUCCCACCGUAAUUUAUAAUUAUACAAAUGAAAUGAAAACUACAUUCACACAAAUACAUGUUUCUGAAUGUUUUUAUUAGCUUUAUUCAUAAGUAUCAAAACUGGAAACAACUGAGAUUUGUUCAAUAGGUGGAUUGAUUAAGAAACUAUGGAAAAGCCAUUCAAUGAAAUACCACCCAGCAAUAAGAAAUAAUGAACUACUAUUUCACAUAACAACAUGGAUGAAUUUAAAGUCCAACUUUUUAAGUGAAAGAAACUAGAUCCAAAAGACUAUCUAUUAUAUGAUUUCAUUCAUUUGAUAUUCUGGCAAAGAGAUUAUUUUUAAAUUUUUUUAUUCUUUAUUUAUUUUUCACAGAGAGAGACAGUGAGACAGAGUUAGACUGGAGGAGGAACAGAGAGAGAGGGAGAUACAGAAUCCGAAGCGGAAUCCUGGCUCUGAGCUGUCAGCACAGAACCCGGAGCGGGGCUUGAACUCACAAAUCGUGAGGACAUGACCUGAGCUGAAGUUGGACGCUUAACCGACUGAGCCACCCAGGUGCCCCACAAAGAGACUAUUACAGGGGUAGAAACCAGAUCAGUGAUUGCCAAUUGUGUGGAGAGGGAAUUUGACCACAAAGAGAUAGAACAAAUGAACUGGAGUGAAGGCGAGGGUGAUGUAACUGUCCUAUUUGGUACUGUGGUGGUAAGUACAUGACUCUAUGCAUUUGUCAAAACCCUAGGACUAUGUUGCACAAAGGAAAGACUUUUAUUAUGAGUAAUUUUUUAAAAAGCAACCAUAUGUGAAUGCAGACUGAGACAAACGAAUCUGUUACACAGAAUGGCAUAAUCUCACUAAAGAAGGUGGUAAAGAAAGGAGCUUACAUAAGUAACUUCAGAAAACAGUGUUUUGAAUGGAUAUCCUAAGGCUAAAAACAAAAAGAUUGUACAAAACAUUGCAGUCUAAUUGAUGUCUUUCCCUAGAAAAGCAUGGGCGAGAAAUUUUGAAAUUCCUUUGAAGGAUACUAAGGUUAAAUAAACAAGGAAAUAUAUUUUAGAUAUGAACAACAGGUUUCACAUUCAGAGAAAGAAGUUAGAAAUGAGGAGGGAAUGUUAGAAUUAACCUUGAAGAGCUAGAUUGGAUCAGAGGUAUCACUACAAAUCAUGUUUUGUUUUGUCUUUUGUGGGUUUUUUUGUUUUGUUUUUUAGAGAGAGAUUGCAAGCAGAGGACAAGAGCAGAGGAGAGAAAGAGAGAGAAUCUUAAGCAGGCUGUUUGCUCAGCAUGAAGCCCAACAUGGGGCUCAAUCCCACAAUGCUGGUAUUAUGACCUGGGCCAAAAUCAAGAGUUGGAUGCUCAACUAACUGAGCCACUCAAGCGCCCCUGAAUCAUGUUGAUUUUUAAGAUAGAUGAUAAUGAUGAGAUAGAUAGAUAGACAGAUAGAUGAUAGAUAGAUAGAUAGAUAGAUAGAGAGAUGUAUAGGUGUCUAUAUAUUAACCAACUGAUAGGACCUAGAAGUAGUGACACCCCAAUAACUAUGAACACUACUACUGUCCAGAUAAUGGGUUGUAAACACUAUUCACAAAAGGUACCAGGACUUCUUGGAGCAGUGAAUGAUUUCAAAUCUAGAGCAGAAAAAAUAUAAAAUAAGCCUAGAGGACUUUGUGUUGCCAGGAAGUAAUGAAAUGCUCAGGGGGUUGAAAAAAAGAAGUUGUGGGCAAGUCAGAAUGGCACAGCAACCAACAUAAAGGAACUCCCAAUAGUCAAACCUGCAAGAAAUUUAGCACUAAAAUAAACAAUGAAGAUUUUGAUUAUAACUUAAAGAAUAAAGUAAAUAUCCAUGAUUCCAUACUGCUAUAAAUAAGUGACUAGAUAUAUAAAUAAAUGAUGGAGAAGAGACAAUUCUUCCUUAUAAGAGAAUCCAAUUAAUAAAUGUAGAAGAAGUGAAGAAAAUUAAAAAUGACUAUGAGAACACCAGAGUAAUAAUUGUUACAGGCAAGAUCUACCAAUUAAUGCUAAAACUGAUGGGUGAAAAUUUAAAGAAAAAUAGAGUAUUUGCAUAGUCGCAGAGUAUCUCCCUUUAAGUAUUUAUUAUUACAAAGGAAAAAAUAGUGAUCUAAAGUGGAAAAGCCUCAGACCCCACCUGAACCAGAUGAUUAAGACUAACUUCACCAGUCUUAAGACACAUUAAUAUCAGGUACCCCCAGAUAUGAUGCACUGAGAGUCCCAUCACACAGACGAUAUUCUUCCCUAAAGUAUAGCUUCAAUCUAAUCAUGAGAAACACAUCACACAAACUCAAGCCGAGGGACGUUUUCAGUUCUAGAGGGACAUUAAUCAGUGCUAGAAAGAAAAUUGGAGGAAAGAGUGAAAUCCUAAGAAAUGUACCUUAUAAGAAACUCUUUCUUAGGUUGAAGGACUAAGAAACGAAAUAUGUUUGAAGUUACAGUGAUGACCAACAGAGGCACUGAUAUCAUUGCUAAUAGGAGGCAAGAGAACAAGACAGUAUUUUAACCUUUGGUUUCAAUCUGACGUGAAGAGAGUUGAAUGAAGGGCUCUUCAGAGCGUUACCAGAAAGAGAACCAGUUCCAAACUCAGGUUCAGCUGCUCACCACUCGCAGAACAACACUUGAGAGAUAAGUGAUGGUAGGAAAGGACAGGUUGCUUUGUUCAGGAAGCCAGCAACCUGGGAAAAUGGUGGACUAACGUCUCCAGGACCAUCUUCCCUGUCCAGGUGCAUUCGGACCAUGAACUCAGAGGCAGGGACCAUGGUUCAUUCAUCUCUGCAUCACAGAGCCUAGCCUGGAAUACGAUAUUGUUGGAGAAGGUCAGCAAGAGGACGUGACUGCAGGUUGACCUGUGAGCUGGACCCGGCAGUCGGAGGCUCCUCGCCUCCAAUUCUGUCCUUGGAAUAUACACUCCGCUGGCCUUCCCCACUUCCAGAGGCUGCCCCAAGGACACGGCCUUGAGAUAGGUGGUGAUGAGAACACCCGCAUGGUGUACAUGACUGAGCCCAGGUAAAGUCUCCAUAUAAACUUCUAAGAUCUAGCCGGUGGUGCGGGGAUUAACUUGCUCCUCAGGACAAGCCUCAUAUGUAAGUUCCCUUGUUUAUUAAACCCGCCACCCACCGACCUGGAGUGGCCUGCCUCUUUCUCUGGUUUCCCCUUUCUUUCUGCUUGCAAGGCCAGUUUCAGAUUUCACCUGGGAAGCUCCAGACGGGGUUGUGAACUAACUGUUGAGCCAGCCAGGACGCUAAAGAAAUGGGCCUUGGGAGAGAGGCAUUCUACAGAACAAUCCUGAGUUGGCCAUCAAUUUCUGCGUGCGGGGCAUGGGGUCCCAUGGAUUAGAGGCUUGUGGACCACACGUGAGUAUGGGGACACCUCGAAAACACUGGUUGUCUUAAUGCACUUGUUUGAGAAACUGCAUGUAGCUCACUGGGGGCAAAGAGAAUCCCUCGGGAGGUGAGCAGAGUGAAGAGCAGGAUGUGGUGACUAACAGUGAAGCGGAUGUACUGUCCCCUGCCUUCAAACCCCAAACACAAAGGAAAGCAAAAGCCCAGCAACAACAACCCCAGCCCCCAGGGAGCCCCCAGUUCAGGAAACAUUCAUGAAGAGAGAAGAUACUCCCCCUAAGCUUAUUGGGAUAGCUGCCAAGUUCCUGAAAAAGGCCCGGGAAAGUAUCCAGGUGUGGCUAGCACAGCUAUGAGAUGCAGGGGCCAUGGGAUUUCUCUGACUGGGCAGGAGGCAGAGAAAAUGAGCAACAUCAACCACAUUCACUGCUCUCUGGCAGCACCUGCAUGGUACUCAGGGGUUCAAGGUACUCACUCCCUUGUUGAUUGGGUUAUUCUAGCCUGCAGGAAAGCUCAGCCCAAUGAGGAGGCCUCUUUGGGAACCAGGGACCCUGGAAAUCUCUACAGGAAGUACAAGAAGUUCUUAGAACUUCCUCUUUCUCUUCCGUUCCCAGGUGCUUCAGGAGUUCCGGGCUUCAGUAUAGAAAUUGCCCAAUGCAAGAACCACACCACACACAACCAGCCACAAAAAUUGCGCAGAAGUGAAGAAACCCCAGUCACAAAGAUAUGAAUAUCCCUGUCUCUUUUUUUUAAUGUUUAUUUAUUUUUGAGAGAGAGUUGAGCUGGGGAGGGGCAGAGAGGGAGACACAGAAUCUGAAACAGGCUCCAGGCUCUGAGCUACCAGCACAGAGCCCAAUGUGGGGCUCGAACUCACAGACCACGAGAUCAUGACCUGAGCCAAACUCGAACAUUUAACCAACUGAGUCACCUAAGUGCCCCAAAGAUAUGAAUCUCUUAAGGGGGUAGACCCCAAGUUCCUGAGGAACAUGUGCUUUGCCAGAAAGCACAAAAAGAAGGGCUAAAGGAGAUGGAGGCCAGUAAUGCCAAGGCCAUGGCUGUAUGUGCUGAGGCUAUCAAUGCCCUUGACAAGUCCGUGAUCCCAAAGGUUGUCAGCCGCAAGCUCAAUCAACUUGCUUACAUCACUCACCCCAUGCUCUGGAAAUGUUCUCAUGCCCGUAAUGCCAAGGGUCUCAGGCUCUGCCAACCAAAGGCCAAGGCCAAGGUUCAAACCAAGGCCCAGGUUGUGGCUCUGGCCCCAGAUGUGGCUGAAGGUGCCGGGUCCCUGAUAAAGGCUCUAAUAUGGAGGCUUCUGUCUGCCAAUGUGAGGACAGAAGGACUGGUGUUACCCUGGGCUUCUAUCUGCAGGGGCUGGUAUCUUUCUGUGCUAGUUGCACAAAUAAACCUGAGGCAGGAUCUGUUGAAAAAGAAAAAGAAAAGAAAAUUCUUAGAGAAUUGGAAAUGAAACAGACCAUCAUCUAUGCCCCUGUCUUUGAAGGCCCUAAUCAGGCCCACAUGCACUGCAGGAAUGAAAACUAAGAUUCUCUAGUCUGCUCUAGCACCCGGUAUGGGAUGCUGAUAUCCGUGCUGAGCCCAGUCGUGGGACAGACGUUUAUGAUGUUGGCUGAUUCAUUGCUGAUCUGAAGGGGACUGACAAAUGCCAGGAAUGAGGAUGGGCUGUGGAAAAGACCCGAAACAGAGAGGGAGCUGGAAGAGCCAAAAGGCUAUAAAGGAUCCUAUGAAAGUAACCUGAAUGAAAUGUGGUUUGACCUCACUGCUGCGGGGAUCCCAUCUGAACAGAUAGACCAACAGCCCAAUGCUGUGUUGGUUGUCGUAUGGGAAGCCUUAAAGCCUGAACAAUUCAGACCUGCCCCAUCUGCCUCUACCAUCCCUGAUGCCCCACCUGCUCCAACAGAGGCCUUAGGAAUACAGUCUUAUUUACGGUGGGUGCCUCCCAAUGCCCUGGGCAUAGGAUGCAAGCCAAGAUUACCUCCAGGUGAGGGUCAGUAGAGGUGACCAGAAGCCUCGUAUAGAGCUCACUAUUCACUGGUCCUCCAGAAAUAAACAAAGGGUAAACUCUGGUAGACCCUGGAGCUGAAUGUACUCUAAUACAUGGUAACCAUCAGAAGUUUCCUGGCCCCUCACACCAUUGAUAAUUAAGGAGGGCAAAUAGUUAUGGUCAGAAAGGUCUUUUUGACACUGCAAUUGGGUGUUCUCCACCCCUGCCCAAGAGCAUGAGAUUUUUACCUCCCCAAUACCAGAGAACAUAUUGGGCAUUCAUACCCUCCAAAGUCAAUCUGCAAACCUGUAUUGCUGAAUUCCACCUGUAGUUACAGUAAUCAAAUAAGUGCUGACAGGAAAUGCCAGCUGGGAACUGGUAAGCCUGCCACCCCCAUAAGGGGUGGUAACAGUCAAACAAUAUAAGUUCCCUGGGGGCAUAAGGAGAUAAGAGAAACUUAUCCAGGAACUUCUCAGAGUGGGUAUCAUACUUCCUGCCCAUCAUGCUUUCCAUAGCCCAGUAAGAUCUGUAAGUAAGCUUCAUGGCAGAUGACAGCGGAAUACUGAGAAUUGAACAAAAUAGUGCCCCCCAUCCAUGCAGCUGUUCCCAACAUCGCCACCAUCGUAGAUACCUUGGCCAGGGUCCUAGAGUGUAUCAUGCUAUGCUGCACUUAGCAAAUGUCUUUUUCAGAAACCCCCUGGCACCUGAGUCACAAGAUUAAUCUGCCUUCACAUGGCAGUGGGGGGGGGGGGGGGGGUGGCAGGGAACAACAAUGGACCUUUCAAGGGCUUCUCCAAGUAGCCCAAGAUCUGUCGCUAUUCUCCUUCCCCUCAUCAGUACAAUGGUCCCAUGACAUUGACGAUAUAAUAUUAACGUGCAAAGAUAUGCUUGUUGCAGGACACCUUGCAGGUGAUACACUUACAAGGGAGAGAAUAGACAGUGAACCUACAGAAAAUUCAAGGCCCAGGCACUACCAUAAAGUCUUGGGAGUCAUUUGGUCAGGAUCCCAGGAGACAAGUAUUUAGCAUGUCUGUAUGAAGGAAAUGUACCACUCAUGACAGGGAUCCCAGGAGACAAGUAUUUAGCAUGUCUGUAUGAAGGAAAUGUACCACUCAUGACAGGAUCCAUUCAGCAAAAGUGAGAAUAUGGCAACUCUACAGGACAGCAGCCUGGUAUCUCUGACAAAUAAAUUGUAAGGAAAAAAAUAUGAAAGGGAAGUGAUACAUUAAAAGUGACUUAAGACACAUAUUAAUGAAGUGUAGUCUAUGCCGAGUAGACUCUGUCCGGAUCCCAAUCCAAAGAA